UAUGGCCACAUCAUGCUGAAACACCAGUUCCCGUGCAAUCAGUGAAGUUAAGCAAUGUCAAACCUGGUCAGUACCUAGAUGGGUGACUGCUUGGAAAUACCAGGUGCC